rnacentral:rRNA from 1 species
ACGCUGGCGGCAGGCUUAACACAUGCAAGUCGAACGGGCGUAGCAAUACGUCAGUGGCAGACGGGUGAGUAACACGUGGGAACCUUCCUAGGGGUACGGAACAACUCAGGGAAACUUGAGCUAAUACCGUAUACGUCCGUGAGGAGAAAGAUUUAUCGCCCUUAGACGGGCCCGCGUCGGAUUAGCUAGUUGGUGGGGUAACGGCCUACCAAGGCGACGAUCCGUAGCUGAUCUGAGAGGAUGAUCAGCCACACUGGGACUGAGACACGGCCCAGACUCCUACGGGAGGCAGCAGUGGGGAAUCUUGGGACAAUGGGCGCAAGCCUGAUCCAGCCAUGCCGCGUGAGUGAAGAAGGCCUUCGGGUUGUAAAGCUCUUUUGCCAGGGACGAUAAUGACGGUACCUGAAGAAUAAGCCCCGGCAAACUUCGUG